GGAGGCAGAGUACCAGCAGCUUGGGGGCUCAGGAAAGACUUGGGCAGAAGGUCGGAGCUUGAAGUGAACUUGAAAGGAAACCAGAGAUUUCAAGAGACAGAGGCAUCCCACCACUCCUCAGUCUUCUUUGCUAGAUUACUAUCUAUGUCUCUAAACACUGGUAUAUCCCAAGGCUUAUUCCUGCUGCAGAGGCACUCACAAUGAAAAUCCACCAGCCGUGCCUGCUGCCAGCUCUCCAUUUGUGCCCAAAGAAUGCUUUCCAUGGGAGCUCUCUUCCUUCUUUAGCUGAGGACAGGCCUAUCUCCCAGGCACCCAGAAAGCCCCAACUUUGCAAAAACUGUCAUUUAACAGGAGAUGCUUUCAUGAAAGUGCAUCUAUGUCCUUUGUUCUGGAAGCAGAUCUGAAACCCUGUCUGAUUUAAGUUCCUCUCCCCAUCUGCCUGUUCUAAUCAGUGCUGUGGACAGCAAGCAGAAACAGCCUAGCCUACAAGGUGGAGAUGAAAAGAAACUUUUCACAGCUGCACAGCCUGUCAUGUCAGUUUUCCAGUCAUCAGCUACAAAGCCAUAGUCAACUCUCUGAUUCCCCAAAAAAAUUUAUCAAUUCAUACUGUCAGAAUCUCUCUAGAUUCAUAUUGUCCAUACUCAUUGAUACAAAAUGAGAACAUCUGGGAAUACAAUUACCUAUGACAUGAAUAAUACUUCAUUUUUAUUAAAUAAAAACUUUCUAACAGAAAAAA